rnacentral:rRNA from 1 species
CCUACGGGUGGCUGCAGUCGAGAAUAUUCCACAAUGGGCGAAAGCCUGAUGGAGCGACGCCGCGUGCAGGAUGAAGGUCUUCGGAUUGUAAACUGCUUUUCUCAGGGAAGAACGCAAGUGACUGUACCUGAGGAAUAAGAGGUUACUAACUCUGUGCCAGCAGUAGCGGUAAUACAGAGACCUCAAGCGUUAUCCGGAUUUAUUGGGCGUAAAGCGCAGGUAGGCGGGCCUGUUAGUCGUAUGUUAAAGCCAGGGGCUUAACCCCUGAGAUGCAUACGAAACGGCAGGUCUGGAGAAUGUGAGAGAUCAGUGGAAUUGAUGGUGUAGUAGUGAAAUGCGUUGAUAUCAUCAAGAACACCCAAGGCGAAGGCAACUGAUUGGCACACUUCUGACGCUGAGCUGCGAAAGCGUGGGUAGCGAAUGGGAUUAGAUACCCCUGU